GCUGAUGUAGCUCAGCCGGUUAGAGCGCGAAACUCAUAAUUUCGAGGUCGGUGGUUCGAGCCCACCCAUCAGCA
rnacentral:tRNA from 1 species